CAAGCAUCCUUUCUCUGCAGCCAGCACAGGGUUGCUUAGAACAAAGUCUUCAUGGGCAGCGAUGGGUGAGGUGAGAGCCAGCAGAUGUUGCAGGUCCUUGGACCCCCACUGAGGCUCACCCAGAGCGACAAGCCAAGCUGAACUUUCUGAUUUCUACCACCACGGAUUCGUCUUGUCUGUCCUUGGAUUUUGCCUGCAUCUGCGGAAGCACGUGGACGUUCCUGGGCCAGGGAUCGAACCUGUGCCGCAGCAGUGAUAAUGCUGGAUCCUCAACCUGAUGAGCUACCAGGGAACCCCUGUUUUAAAAAAAGUCAUGCCGCUUGUGUUCCUCGGCAGUCUUUGUUAAGGAGUAGGCCCAAUCCUUGUCUAAGUCCAUGGGAGCAAAGAAGCAUUUUACAAUGGGAUCAACUCAUGGAAAGAGGUCAUCAAA